rnacentral:tRNA from 1 species
AGAAACUUAGGAUAAAUAGACCAAGGGCCUUCAAAGCCCCAAGCAGAAGUUAAAAUCUUCUAGUUUCUG